rnacentral:rRNA from 1 species
GGAAUCUUGGACAAUGGGGGCAACCCUGAUCCAGCGACGCCGCGUGGGUGAUGAAGGCCUUCGGGUUGUAAAGCCCUUUCACCGGGGACGAUGAUGACGGUACCCGGAGAAGAAGCACCGGCGAGCUCCGUGCCAGCAGCCGCGGUAAGACGGGGGGUGCGAGCGUGGUUCGGACUCACUGGGCGUAAAGGGCGCGUAGGCGGCCUGGGAAGUCGGCUUGUGAAAGCCCGGGGCUCAACCCCGGAGGUGCGGCCGAUACUCUCAGGCUCGAGGCCGGAAGAGGAGGGUGGAAUACCCAGUGUAGAGGUGAAAUUCGUAGAUAUUGGGUGGAACACCGGUGGCGAAAGCGGCUCUCUGGUCCGGACCUGACGCUGAGGCGCGAAAGCGUGGGGAGCAAACG